GACUUUCCACAAUCAAAGAGAACCCUAUAUAUCAAAAGCUCCAUAAAACCCUGCUUUGUCAUAAACUAACACAUUUCUGGGAAGAUGGAUCAAGUGAAGUUUAAGUGACCUUGAUUCCCAAGUUUAUAUCAGGAUCCCUUGUUACUUUCCCUGUUCUGGAUCUGGAAUCAGGCAUUUCUCUCAGAAUUCAAGGUUGCUGUAAUUCAAGUCAUCUGUCUCCAAGAUGGUUUGAAGCAUUCUUGUCCUAAAAUGAGAAAAUAGACUAAUCUCAUAUGUAGUGAUUAGAAGAUUUUACACCUGUCAUGACACCCUCCUGGACAUCAUGUAAGCCAAAGCCAU